CCUACGAGUGGCAGCAGUGGGGAAUAUUGCACAAUGGGGGGAACCCUGAUGCAGCGACGCCGCGUGAGUUAAGAAGUAUUUCGGUAUGUAAAGCUCUAUCAGCAGGGAAGAAAAUGACGGUACCUGACUAAGAAGCCCCGGCUCACUACGUGCCAGCAGCCGCGGUAAUACGUAGGGGGCAAGCGUUAUCCGGAUUUACUGGGUGUAAAGGGAGCGCAGACGGCUGUGCAAGUCUGGAGUGAAAGGCGGGGGCGCAACCCCCGGCGUGCUCUGGAAACUGUGAAGCUGGAGUGCAGGAGAGGUAAGCGGAAUGCCUGGUGUAGCGGUGAAAUGCGUAGAUAUCAGGAGGAACACCGGCGGCGAAGGCGGCUUACUGGACUGUAACUGACGUUGAGGCUCGAAGGCGUGGGGAGCAAACAGGAUUAGAUACCCCAGUAGUC
rnacentral:rRNA from 1 species